ACCACUUGAGCCGCCGAUUGCAUGGCCACUUGCUUGACCUCGACUUUCAGCGCCGAAGGGGUGGUGAUGCCCCGGUGCAGAUCCCAGGAACUGGUC
rnacentral:tRNA from 1 species